rnacentral:rRNA from 1 species
CCUACGGGAGGCAGCAGUGAGGAAUAUUGGUCAAUGGACGAGAGUCUGAACCAGCCAAGUAGCGAGAAGGAUGACUGCCCUAUGGGUUGUAAACUUCUUUUAUAUGGGAAUAAAAUGUUCCACGUGUGGGCUUUUGUAUGUACCAUAUGAAUAAGGAUCGGCUAACUCCGUGCCAGCAGCCGCGGUAAUACGGAGGAUCCGAGCGUUAUCCGGAUUUAUUGGGUUUAAAGGGAGCGUAGGUGGAUUGUUAAGUCAGUUGUGAAAGUUUGCGGCUCAACCGUAAAAUUGCAGUUGAAACUGGCAGUCUUGAGUACAGUAGAGGUGGGCGGAAUUCGUGGUGUAGCGGUGAAAUGCUUAGAUAUCACGAAGAACUCCGAUUGCGAAGGCAGCUCACUGGACUGCAACUGACACUGAGGCUCGAAAGUGUGGGUAUCAAACAGGAUUAGAUACCCUAGUAGUC